rnacentral:tRNA from 1 species
UCUUCGAUGGUCUAGUGGUCAUGAUUUCCGCUUGUCAAGAUUCACAUCUAACAAGCGCGGGAGACCGGGGUUCGAUUCCCCGUCGGAGAG